rnacentral:lncRNA from 1 species
CCCUGGAACUGCAGGCAUCCGUUUGAACUGUUUUGCCCUGAGCUGCCUUUUAUCUGCUCUCUGCAGGGAGUGGUGUCUGCAGAGACCAGCAGAGGAGGCUUGCUCCUGGAGGAACCCAAGACUCUGCUGUUUAAAGGGAACACCUACAGUCUACAAGUCUCCAUCCAGGACCUGCCCCAGUUCCUGUGGAGUAUCAAACCCUUUACCACCUGCCAGGAGUUUUCGUUCUGUCAGGUGUGGAGCAGUAACCAGCAGCCUUUGCACUGUGCCUUUUCUCUGGAGAGGUUCACCACUGCCACCACGCAGCUCUCCUGCAAGAUCAGCGUGCGCCAGGUCAAAGGUCAUGAGCAGAUCCUGCAGGUCUACACCACCGUGGCAGAGGUCAGGCACUGGUACCGCCUCCCUGCGCUCCUGUCCAGACAAGCAUGAAACAGUAAACAGUGUGACCUUCAGGCGUCCGAGCUGCAGACACCUUCAUCUACCCUUUAAACUUACAGCACUGAACAGAUCUGCUUCUGUUCAGGGACUUCUGUGAGGCUUAGAUGGGUGGGACAUGGGAUGGGGAGGGUUCCAGGUGGGCAUGGGUUCUGAGUUCUGACAAAUAUGACUCACAGCUGGGUAAUUGGCCAUGUAAAUUGGGGAGAAA